rnacentral:rRNA from 1 species
UACAGGGGGUGCAAACGUUGCUCGGAAUUAUUGGGCGUAAAGCGCGCGUAGGCGGCCACUUAAGUCGGAUGUGAAAUCCCGAGGCUCAACCUCGGGUCUGCAGUCGAUACGGGCAAACUAGAGUAUUGCAGGGGAGACUGGAAUUCCUGGUGUAGCGGUGAAAUGCGUAGAUAUCAGGAGGAACACCGGUGGCGAAGGCGGCUCUCUGGACAAAUACCGACGCUGAGGCACGAAAGCUAGGGGAGCAAACAGG